rnacentral:rRNA from 1 species
GUGGGGAAUAUUGCACAAUGGGCGCAAGCCUGAUGCAGCCAUGCCGCGUGUAUGAAGAAGGCCUUCGGGUUGUAAAGUACUUUCAGCGGGGAGGAAGGGAGUAAAGUUAAUACCUUUGCUCAUUGACGUUACCCGCAGAAGAAGCACCGGCUAACUCCGUGCCAGCAGCCGCGGUAAUACGGAGGGUGCAAGCGUUAAUCGGAAUUACUGGGCGUAAAGCGCACGCAGGCGGUUUGUUAAGUCAGAUGUGAAAUCCCCGGGCUCAACCUGGGAACUGCAUCUGAUACUGGCAAGCUUGAGUCUCGUAGAGGGGGGUAGAAUUCCAGGUGUAGCGGUGAAAUGCGUAGAGAUCUGGAGGAAUACCGGUGGCGAAGGCGGCCCCCUGGACAUUAACUGACGCUGAGGCACUAAGGCCAGGGGAGCGAAAGGGA